GUCUUCACCUGGGGAUUGGAAGAGGUAGGAAUUUCUUUGGGAUGAGUUCGAGAUGAGCCCGGUUUUCCUGCCUGUCACUCUCAGAUUCAACAGUGGAAGCCACCUGGAUCACCAUUAGGAAACUGACAUCUUCCAGGAAUGCCAAAAGAAAUAGGAACACUCUUGGGAUGGUUCCAGAGGCUGCAGAAUCACAAAGUGACAGAAUUCAAGAUGAAAAGAGCCUCAGAGAUAAUGGAGUCCACCUCUGCCUCCUUUUAUUAAUGAGGAAAGUGGAGUCCAGAGAAACGAAAAGUCCAGCAUUCAGCAGUCACACCUGGGAGCCAAAUCUUACAAAUCUAAGUGCAUGAGAUCUAACACAUCAGUGACCUUGAUCGUCUUCUAUGUCAUCUCUGGUGAAGAUAUAGGCUCCCUCUCAGAUUCCAGAAUUCUGGCACUGUCCACAUUUGCCAUAAAAGCUCGUAUUUGUGAUCUUUUCAAUGCAACCCUGUGCAAAGGCCAAAACAAGAUUGUUCAGCAUUGUUCAAGUUAUAGUUCGUGAAUUAUUGCUCAGUUUUAGAAC